UACGAAGGGGGCUAGCGUUGUUCGGAAUCACUGGGCGUAAAGGGCGCGUAGGCGGCCGAUCAAGUCGGGGGUGAAAGCCUGUGGCUCAACCACAGGAUUGCCUUCGAUACUGUUUGGCUUGAGACCGGAAGAGGUUAGUGGAACUGCGAGUGUAGAGGUGAAAUUCGUAGAUAUUCGCAAGAACACCAGUGGCGAAGGCGGCUGACUGGUCCGGUUCUGACGCUGAGGCGCGAAGGCGUGGGGAGCAAACAGG
rnacentral:rRNA from 1 species